rnacentral:rRNA from 1 species
UACGAAGGGGGCUAGCGUUGUUCGGAAUUACUGGGCGUAAAGCGUGCGCAGGCGGCUGCUCAAGUCAGGGGUGAAAGCCCAGAGCUCAACUCUGGAUUGCCUUUGAGACUGAGUGGCUUGAGUACGGGAGAGGUGAGUGGAAUUCCCAGUGAUAGAGGUGAAAUUCGUAGAUAUUGGGAAGAACACCGGUGGCGAAGGACGGCUCACUGGCCCGUAACUGACGCUCAUGCACGACAGCGUGGGGAUCAAACAGG